GCACCUUUAGCUCAGUCGGUAGAGCAACUGACUCUUAAUCAGUGGGUCCCGGGUUCAAAUCCCUGAAGGUGCACCA
rnacentral:tRNA from 1 species